ACAAUGUUGCUGUGUGUAAGAAAUAUAUCAAAUUCAUCCCAGCCUGAGUGCUAUUAUGUUGCUGUUGUGGAGCUCUCUGCAAGGUGCCCUGUCCUGUUAUAUGAGAGGAUCUGGCAGCUGAAGGUCACAUGAGCUGCCUGCCCUCAUGAAAACAACCAAGAGUGGGAACUAGCUAAAUACUGAAGUGUUACAGUAUUUGAUUAACCUUUUCAUGCAAUUUUGCUUUUUGAGCAUAUUCCAAAACUAGAAAUUCAGUUAAAAAAGAUUUUAUAUAAUGUACUCAAUUACAAAAAAUACAGAGUCACACAUUUACUGAGUAAACUCAGUUAAGUAACUCAGUUAAGAGAGCUUCUCCUUGAAUAGGGUCCUUUAGUUCUCUUGCCACCACUGGAAACAACCCCCAUGACCAAUGUUUAUAAUAACACUGUCUUAAACACAAACAUGUUAAGUUAAAACAGUAAAAUGUACAACUGAUGUUCACACAGGCAUACACAAUUCUCUCUAGAUACGUUAUUUGUAAUAAGGUGUGCUCAUGUUGUUAUUUGUCAACUUCCUUUUCAUCUCUUCCUCCACUGUUUCUUAAUAAAUAGUUCCUCUUAUGAAGUAAUCUUCACUGUAGGAGAAUAUGUGCAAGCUGUCGGAAAUAUUAUGUCCAAAGGGCUUUGAGGGGCUCUAGCUAUUGCACUGUCUGGAUUGCCCAGAGUGUUGUGCAGGAAGCAGUAUACCUCUUCCUUAGUUUGCCUGCCCUAUAGAGUUAGACCAAACCUGCACAACACUCCGAGCGACCUUGAUCAAAAGCUUAUAGUCCACAGCCCCCACAGUGGAGCUCGACCAGAGAGUCCACCUGGAAGGAGGUACAGGGUACAACUAGGGCCACCUUCACUCCAGGACCCAGUGGAGCACCCUAUAAGGUUUGCGAGCUCUGUCUAGAGUGCUCCAGAAUCCUCUGGAAGGUUCUGUGAAUGAUUUGGCACAGGAAAACUUUAACAGACCAGUGAGGGAAGGCACCUGGAUACCCAAGGAGGAGAACUCAACUAAGCUGGAGCAGUUCAAAUCCACCUCACUUGUCAGCAUGGAGGGGAAGAUCUUCAGUGUCCCAUCCAGAGUGAUGACAGACUACGCUGACACCUCAGCACAGAAAGGUGGCAUUCCUUGAGUUCCAGGUGCAGGCAGGUAUCGAAUAGGGAUCAACCCUGGCUAGGUCGCCUAAGCAGGCAUAUGGUGUUGAAUGACCUGAAACAUCCAUUGACCGCAGGAAAUAGCACUGAGGACAUGUCCCAGAGCAUCCUAGGUUUCAGGCUUGACUGCAGCUUGACAGAGACUAAUGAAGUCCACGACUAAACAAGGACAUCAGAGGAACUGAUAACAUGAGUACUGCAAGGAGAGGAAAAGAGAAGUCUUCUACUGCCAUCCUGAGGGGGUCAGCUAGAGGCUACGUGGAAAUAUUCUCAUUGGGUGUUUUUUUAAUCAUAUUACAUCUCAGACCUACUAUCCAUGAUCAGGGGUGGAAAGUAACUAGGUCUUAGUUGCACUGAUAGUCUGCUACUUUACACUUCUACAGUUCAGAAAAAUAUUGUACUUUUUACUCUGCUACAAAGUAGUUAGUUAGUUCAAAUCAAUAUUUGACAUAAAAUACAUAUAAGCUUAUAAAAUACAAUGUACUGUUAAAGAAUAAACCACUUUGUGUGUGUGUGUUUGUUUCUUUCAGUGUUUUGUGUUUGACUUUAUGCUCAGAAGCUUGUGACUAAAUGGAUAUUUUUUUGAAUGUGACACAAACUAUAAUAUCCCUUCUUUGUGCAGUCAACAAAUGAAGAAAAUGUUGUCUGUGUCUUAAACUGUUAUUCCUAACAAACUUGAUUGUUAUUUCAGACACAAAAAGUCACUAGAAAAAGAAACAAAUGUCUCUGAAUCUUAAAAUCAUGUAAAGCAGAAUAAUUCCUCCACUACUGUCAAAUUUUUUAUCCACCUCUUUCUCUCCCCAGGUUUAUUAUUUGAUAAAAUGUCUGAUGAUUUGAGAUGAAUAUUCUAACUGUACAGCAGAGGGAGCCUCAGCUGCCUCAGUUUUCUUCACUGAAUGUAUACUUUCUUUCAGACUAUUUUGUUUACAAUGUUCCUCGUGAAAUAAAGACAAGCAAAGCCUUGCA